UAGACUUUAUUAAAUCUUCUGGGGUCC
rnacentral:piRNA from 1 species